rnacentral:lncRNA from 1 species
CAGGAAUGUUCAGAGCCUGUUCCAUUCCCUGGGCUCUUCCACCCAGUGGUUUCAGUUUGUUUUGUUUGUUCUACUGUUACCGCUUGCGCCAUGGGGUAGUGGCUAAUGGAUUUGCUUUCAGUGUUAUCCACAAACACCCCUGGGCAGCUGCUCAGUGGAAUCUGGCUAAAUAAAGGCAAGCCUUUUAGUUCAGUACUGCAGGGAGACAACAGACAGGAUAAACUAAGUGACCACAAUUCCCAGAGUAAGGUCCAUGCUGGUGUUGCUGAAGCUCUGCUCUGCUGCCACUGAGACUGCUGCAUCCACCGAUUCCAGAAAGGCUUUCAGUGAAGUCUGCCUAGAAGAUUCCAUGUUUCCUACUAAUCAUCGACUGUUCUGAAAACCGUGAAUAAACAAUGUUCCUUUUGACAAAACCACAUCAAGAAGGAAAGCAUUCAGAACAAGCGUUUCUCAGCUCGUCUUGAGUUGGCUGGAGAGGAGCGCCCUCUAGGGGAGGCAAAAACAGCAGCAGCAGCAGCCGUAGGAUUUGUUUGCCGGUGCUGGUUUGUAAUAAAUGUUUCAGGACUGGGAUUUUGUUGCAAUCCUUUGAGACAAUGGUCCCAUGCUGGUAAGUGUUAACAUUGUUCAGACUAGGUUAUGUGAUGUGCUCUUUGUCAUUCAAGGCAAACACAAACCGCCAUCUCCCCAAUGCAUGGGAUCCUGGUUAGCUUUAAAUGUCAACUUAGCACAGAAUCAUCAGAGAGGAGAACCUCAGUUGAGAAUUGCCUAGAUCAGAUUGGCCUGCAGAGAUGUCUGGCGGGUGUGGGUGGGAAGAUUGUCUCAAUUGUUAAUUGAUGUAGGAGGGGCCAGUUUACCCUGGGUGGCACCAUUCCCUGGACAGGGGUCCUGAAGUGUCUAAAAAGCUGG